GGGUACAGAAAAGAGAAGGGAGUUAUAAGGAUAACAAUGGGGGAAAGCAGACAAUAUGGACUGUUACAAGGUUUGUUAUCAAGAUUUUCGACAGUGACAUUUAGGGUUUCGCAGGCGGCUGUGUCCGCAAUAACAAUAUACCUGAUAUACACAUACUUAAGGUUGCUUAGUAUAGUUUUACACUCACGUAUUGUUUACCCGUUGUUGGGUGUUUG